rnacentral:rRNA from 1 species
CGGCGGACGGGUGAGUAACGCGUGGGUAACCUACCCUGUACACACAGAUAACAUACCGAAAGGUAUGCUAAUACGGGAUAAUAUAUUUGAGAGGCAUCUCUUGAAUAUCAAAGGUGAGCCAGUACAGGAUGGACCCGCGUCUGAUUAGCUAGUUGGUAAGGUAACGGCUUACCAAGGCGACGAUCAGUAGCCGACCUGAGAGGGUGACCGGCCACAUUGGGACUGAGACACGGCCCAA